AUGGGAUAUUAGCAAGCUUCACUACAAAACGAGUAGCACCUGGUCAUGAUUUUAGUGCAGUUAUAAAAAUAAUACAUAUGAAGAUUAUGUCUGAUAUUGCAAUAGCUUGUCCGUGAUUGGCAUUACGUACAUACCUAUUCAAUAUCUCCAUUAUUUUGCUUCUAGCUUCCUUUGGUCUUAAAACAAAUCACCUGUUGUGUAUCAAUUACCUUCUUUGAUAAAAAGUAAUAAAGUUAUUUUUUUGUCAUAAA